UAAUUAUGCAAAAACUAUCAUCUCCAAAAUACCAUUACGUUUUUAUCUUAUUUUAAUAGUAUUGACAACAUAUUUCUCAAGUUAUCACGCAUUACUGAAAAAGUGAAGAAGGGACACUAUAUUUGUUAUCUAUUUUCAUGUUGUGCGAAGUCGGCUAUUUUGAUUUGAAUAUGGAUUUUUGGCUCUGUGUGAGGAGUGUAUGUGUGCUGAGACUUUCAUUGUCUGAGAGAAAUUGCGCCUCUACAGGAGCAAUCCCCGGG
ensembl:lncRNA